AACGAACGCUGGCGGCGUGCUUAACACAUGCAAGUCGAACGCGAAAGGGACUUCGGUCCUGAGUAAAGUGGCGCACGGGUGGGUAACGCGCAGAUAACCUGCCUUCACGUCUGGAAUAAUACGCCGAAAGGGGCACUAAUACCGGAUAUUCCUGCUUUUCAUACGUUUCGCAAGGAAAGGUGGCAUCUGUAUAUGCUACUGCGGGUAGAGGGGUCUGCGUACCAUUAGCUAGUAGUGGGGGUAAUGGCCUACCUAGGGAAAGAUGGUUAGCGGGUCUGAGAGGAUGAUCCGCCACACUGGCACUGGAACACGGGCCAGACUCCUACGGGAGGCAGCAGUGGGGAAUAUUGCGCAAUGGGGGAAACCCUGACGCAGCGACGCCGCGUGAGUGAGGAAGGCCUUCGGGUCGUAAAGCUCUGUCAAAGGGAAAGAAGUGCAUGAUGGCUAAUACCUGUCAUGUUUGACGGUACCCUUAAAGGAAGCACCGACUAACUCCGUGCCAGCCGCCGCUGUAACAC
rnacentral:rRNA from 1 species